rnacentral:sRNA from 1 species
UUAUUAGAAAAGCCCUAUGUUUUUUUCUACAUACAAAAUAGUUUGAAUUUUUAAAAUCGGAUUUGGAUUUAUAAAAUAGUAAAUAGUGUUUGUAAGUAAAAACAUGUUGUACUAUUUUGGAUAGAAAUAAAAUGUUGUACUAUACUAUUUUGGAUGUAUAGAAAAACUAUACCCUAAGAUACAACAUUGGCAACCCAAGCAACCAGAUAACAUAAGUGGUAUCUGAAAAAUCUACUUUGUGCUUCUCGUUUGUUUGUCAUGUGAUACAGAAAAAAGAAAGAGAGAAGAGAUUGAGAGAAGAAAGAAAAAGAGAUGAGAGAGAGAGGAGAGAAGGAGGGACUUAGAAUGAGGUGGAGAGAAAGGGGUAAAUAUGCUAUUAUUAUAUAUAAUAUGGAGAGUAUAACUGUUUUUUUGUCUUGUGUUACUUUCUUAAUUUAUAAGUUUUUGUUAGUUAUUCUUGCAAAUUUCUCUUUUUUCUAUAUAUAU